rnacentral:rRNA from 1 species
AGAGUUUGAUCCUGGCUCAGGAUGAACGCUAGCGGCAGGCUUAACACAUGCAAGUCGAGGGGUAUAGGUUUUCGGACCUAGAGACCGGCGCACGGGUGCGUAACGCGUAUGCAAUCUACCUUUUACUGAGGGAUAGCCCAGAGAAAUUUGGAUUAAUACCUCAUAGUAUUAUUGAAUGGCAUCAUUUAAUAAUUAAAGUCACAACGGUAAAAGAUGAGCAUGCGUCCCAUUAGCUUGUUGGUAAGGUAACGGCUUACCAAGGCAACGAUGGGUAGGGGUCCUGAGAGGGAGAUCCCCCACACUGGUACUGAGACACGGACCAGACUCCUACGGGAGGCAGCAGUGAGGAAUAUUGGUCAAUGGGCGCAAGCCUGAACCAGCCAUGCCGCGUGCAGGAUGACGGUCCUAUGGAUUGUAAACUGCUUUUGUACAGGAAGAAACAGUUCUACGUGUAGAACCUUGACGGUACUGUAAGAAUAAGGAUCGGCUAACUCCGUGCCAGCAGCCGCGGUA